GAUUCGCUAUUGUACCAGCAGCAUCUUUUAACAUCCCAGGGUGGAAAAUGGUCCAGAUCAGUAGACUUUUUUCGUUAAAGACUUUUCAAUCAUGGGUCACCCGUGACAAAAUGCCACGUAGAUCGGGAACCAAAACUGUUAAAGUUCUCAAAAAAAGUAAGUUGGUCAUUUUAUUACACACGGUGCACAAUCGAAUGACCCAAGAAUAUUUGAAUUCUCGUCCCAGAUCCCGUAGUAGACCCUUUGCACGACCCGGUCACAUGGUACAAAAUCAGCCAUCCAGCCCAGCUUGACUUUCCCUUGUUUUGGAUCCAGCAAACUGGACAAGAGACAGGAUCACAAUGCGAGGAACUUUUAAGUUACCUCUUAGGCUGAUCAUAAACAGCGGCAACCUAAAAAAAAAGGAGAUUUGCGACAAAAUCGCUGCCGACUUCAAUACAAAGUCCGAUCAAGUCCAGUAAGGAUGUCACAGGAACGCAGUGCGAUUUCUGUUUAAUUAAAUUUCGCCUCAGAAUAAAUUCUUCGUGAACCCCAAGAGUCCGUCUGGAAUUAAUCGGCCGCAAUGCAGGUUCCCCUUCGGGCAACACGCACCAUUACACAGGCGUGAUUUUAAUCGUAACGAAAUGGAACAACUUUUUUUCCACAAUGAAUUUCAAUUUCCGGAAUUAUUUUUUCUUAAUGGCAAGCGCCCCGCCAACUACUAAAACUGCUCUGAUCAAACUGGUAAACCAAAAAAAACAAAACGGAAAAACUCGAGAGACAGUGACGUUGGAAAGAAACAUCAUCAAACAUUUGAAAAAAAAAAAAAAAUAGACACAAGACAAAAAAAAGAAACUCCAAGAGGAAAAAAUACUUUUUAUUCUGUGCUCAACCAAAGUAGCAAGACAAGCAUUCCGGGCCCAUAAUUAAUAUUCCAUACGCUACAGAAUUUAAACAUUUUUGCAAAUGCUUUCUUUGUUGAUGCUAAUGAUCUUGUAGCAUCAUUAAAAAGUGUUGUCGUUUUCCAGAAACGAGCGACCUAUUUACCGCUAUCCCGACCAUAAGAGCAAUAUGAAAAUAAUGUUAACUCUUGUUAUCAAGAUAUGUUAUUCCUUGCCUGAUAAGAUGUCUCAUAGUAAUUGCAAUCUAAUUUCGUCAAACUCUUUCCACUGAUGUUAAUCAUUUUAUAUACUCACAUUUUUCACCAGUGACAGAUCACGUGUUCUAGAAAUGCCUUACACGAGCGCUACACCUAGCUUGGUUAUGCAGUAUCAAUAAAAUGUGUUCUCUUGGCUGCGUAAUAGCUUAUCCCCACAUUUCUGUUCACCACUCAACAUUUGAAAGAGCUUCCAGUAUUACAAAAUUUUUAAUCACUGGUCAUCAGAUGUUGUUUUGUUUUUCCUGAAAAACAUUCUGAAAAUCUUUUCCAAUGUCAUGCUAGAA